rnacentral:tRNA from 1 species
GGAAGCGUGCCCGAAAGAUAAGGACCUCCUUGAUAGGGAGGCUCAUAGAAGUUCAAACCUUCUCGCUUCCU